rnacentral:rRNA from 1 species
GAUGAACGCUGGCGGCGUGUCUAAUACAUGCAAGUCGAACGCAUUGUGGUUGAAAUGAUAUGAAGAACUUGUCCAGAUUUGAUUUUCAACAUUGCAAUGAGUGGCGAACGGGUGAGUAACACGUGGGAAACCUACCUCUUAGCAGGGGAUAACAUUUGGAAACAAAUGCUAAUACCGUAUAAUAAUUAAAACCGCAUGGUUUUAGUUUAAAAGAUGGUCUUGCUAUCACUAAGAGAUGGUCCCGCGGUGUAUUAGUUAGUUGGUGAGGUAAUGGCUCACCAAGACAAUGAUACAUAGCCGAGUUGAGAGACUGACCGGCACAAUGGGACUGAGACACGGCCCAUACUCCU